rnacentral:rRNA from 1 species
UGGCUCAGAUUGAACGCUGGCGGCAGGCUUAACACAUGCAAGUCGAGCGGGGGAAAGUAGCUUGCUACUGGACCUAGCGGCGGACGGGUGAGUAAUGCUUAGGAAUCUGCCUAUUAGUGGGGGACAACAUUCCGAAAGGAAUGCUAAUACCGCAUACGUCCUACGGGAGAAAGCAGGGGACCUUCGGGCCUUGCGCUAAUAGAUGAGCCUAAGUCGGAUUAGCUAGUUGGUGGGGUAAAGGCCUACCAAGGCGACGAUCUGUAGCGGGUCUGAGAGGAUGAUCCGCCA